AGGGGGCAAGCGUUAUCCGGAUUUACUGGGUGUAAAGGGAGCGUAGACGGCAGGGCAAGCCAGAAGUGAAAAACGCAGAGCUUAACUUUGCGACUGCUUUUGGAACUGCCCAGCUAGAGUACAGGAGAGGUAAGUGGAAUUCCUAGUGUAGCGGUGAAAUGCGUAGAUAUUAGGAGGAACACCAGUGGCGAAGGCGGCUUACUGGACUGAGACUGACGUUGAGGCUCGAAAGCGUGGGGAGCAA
rnacentral:rRNA from 1 species